GAUGAACGCUAGCUACAGGCUUAACACAUGCAAGUCGAGGGGAAACGACAUCGAAAGCUUGCUUUUGAUGGGCGUCGACCGGCGCACGGGUGAGUAACGCGUAUCCAACCUGCCCAUCACUUGGGAAUAACCUUGCGAAAGUAAGACUAAUACCCAAUGAUAUCCCACGAAGGCAUCGGAAUGGGAUUAAAGAUUUAUCGGUGAUGGAUGGGGAUGCGUCUGAUUAGCUUGUUGGCGGGGUAACGGCCCACCAAGGCAACGAUCAGUAGGGGUUCUGAGAGGAAGGUACCCUACAUUUGAACUGAGACCCGGUCCAAAAUCCUACGGGAGGCAGGAGUGAGUAAUAUUGGUCAAGGGGGGAGAGCCUGACCCAGCCAAGUAGCGUGCAGGAAGACGGCCCUAUGAGUAGUAAACUGCUUUUAUAAGGGAAUAAAGUGGGUCACGUGUGACUUUUUGCAUGUACCUUAUGAAUAAGGACCGGCUAAUUCCGUG
rnacentral:rRNA from 1 species